UCCAGACUCCUACGGGAGGCAGCAGUGAGGAAUAUUGGUCAAUGGGCUUACGCCUGAACCAGCCAAGUCGCGUGAGGGAUGACGGCCCUAUGGGUUGUAAACCUCUUUUGCCGGGGAGCAAAGUGCCGCACGUGUGUGGUUUGGAGAGUACCCGGAGAAAAAGCAUCGGCUAACUCCGUGCCAGCAGCCGCGGUAAUACGGAGGAUGCGAGCGUUAUCCGGAUUUAUUGGGUUUAAAGGGUGCGUAGGCGGACGCUUAAGUCAGGGGUAAAAUGGGGGGGCUCAACCUCGUCGAGCCGUUGAAACUGGGUGCCUUGAGUGGGCGAGAAGUACGCGGAAUGCGUGGUGUAGCGGUGAAAUGCAUAGAUAUCACGCAGAACUCCGAUUGCGAAGGCAGCGUACCGGCGCCCAACUGACGCUGAAGCACGAAGGCGUGGGUAUCGAACAGGAUUAGAUACCCCUGUAAU
rnacentral:rRNA from 1 species